CAGUGGGGAAUAUUCGCGCAAUGGGGGGAACCCUGACGCAGCCAUGCCGCGUGAAUGAAGAAGGCCUUAGGGUUGUAAAGUUCUUUCGGUAUUGAGGAAGGUUGAUGUGUUAAUAGCACAUCAAAUUGACGUUAAAUACAGAAGAAGCACCGGCUAACUCCGUGCCAGCAGCCGCGGUAAUACGGAGGGUGCGAGCGUUAAUCGGAAUAACUGGGCGUAAAGGGCACGCAGGCGGUUAUUUAAGUGAGGUGUGAAAGCCCUGGGCUUAACCUAGGAAUUGCAUUUCAGACUGGGUAACUAGAGUACUUUAGGGAGGGGUAGAAUUCCACGUGUAGCGGUGAAAUGCGUAGAGAUGUGGAGGAAUACCGAAGGCGAAGGCAGCCCCUUGGGAAUGUACUGACGCUCAUGUGCGAAAGCGUGGGGAGCAAACAGGAUUAGAUACCCUGGUAGUCCACGCUGUAAACGCUGUCGAUUUGGGGGUUGGGGUUUAACUCUGGCGCCCGUAGCUAACGUGAUAAAUCGACCGCCUGGGGAGUACGGCCGCAAGGUUA
rnacentral:rRNA from 1 species